GAUGAACGCUGGCGGCGUGCCUAAUACAUGCAAGUCGAGCGAACAGAUGAGGAGCUUGCUCCUCUGACGUUAGCGGAGGACGGGUGAGUAACACGUGGAUAACCUCCCUAUAUGACUGGGAUAACUUCGGGAAACCGGCGCUUAUACCGGAUAAUCUAUUGAACCGCAUGGUUGAAUGGUGAAAGACGGUUUUGCUGUCACGUAUCGAUGGAUACGCGCCGCAUUAGAUAGUUGGUAAGUUAACGGCUUUUCAAGGCGACGAUGCGUAGACGACGUGAGAGGGUGGUCGGCGACCUUAGAGGGUGGACACGGUCCAGAGUACUACGGGAGGCAGCAGUAUGGUAUCGUACGCAAAAGGCGAAAGUAUGGCGGAGUAACGGGGAGUGAGAUGUGGAAGUGUCGGGAGCGUAAAGCUCUGUUAUUAGUGAAGAACAAAUGUGGAAGUAACUAUGCACUUCUUGACGGUAACUGGUAAGAAAGCACCGGCUAACUACGUG
rnacentral:rRNA from 1 species